GCCAGUUUAGCUUAGUUGGAAGAGCAACCGAUUUGUAAUCGGUAGGUCGUAGGUUCGAGCCCUACAACUGGCA
rnacentral:tRNA from 1 species